CCUACGGGAGGCAGCAGUGGGGAAUAUUGGGCAAUGGGCGCAAGCCUGACCCAGCAACGCCGCGUGAAGGAAGAAGGCUUUCGGGUUGUACACUUCUUUUAAGAGGGAAGAGCAGAAGACGGUACCUCUUGAAUAAGCCACGGCUAACUACGUGACAGCAGCCGCGGUAUACGUAGGUGGCAAGCGUUGUCCGGAUUUACCGGGUUUAAAGGGCGUGCAGCCGGGAAGACAAGUCAGGUGUGAAAUCCCGCGGCUCAACCGCGGAAGUGCAUUUGAAACUGGUUUUCUUGAGUACCGGAGAGGUCAUCGGAAUUCCUUGUGUAGCGGUGAAAUGCGUAGAUAUAAGGAAGAACACCAGUGGCGAAGGCGGAUGACUGGACGGCAACUGACGGUGAGGCUCGAAAGUGUGGGUAUCAAACAGGAUUAGAUACCCCGGUAGUC
rnacentral:rRNA from 1 species